rfam:Oryza barthii chromosome 6, whole genome shotgun sequence.
ACCUGCUAGUCAUGCUGACCACAGCCGCCCAGGCAUGGCUGAUGGGGCUACCGAGGUACACCAUCAACAGUUGGUCCAAACUGAAGGGGCAAUU